rnacentral:rRNA from 1 species
GAUUAACGCUAGCGGCAGGCAUAAUACAUGCAAGUUGAACGGCAGCACAGGUAGCAAUACUGGGUGGCGAGUGGCGCACGGGUGCGUAACACGUAUGCAACCUACCCUAUACAGGCGAAUAACCUUUAGAAAUGAGGGCUAAUACGCCGUAGUAUUACAGAUGGGCAUCUAUUUGUAAUUAAAGAUUUAUCGGUAUAGGAUGGGCAUGCGUCCCAUUAGUUAGUUGGUAAGGUAACGGCUUACCAAGACGAUGAUGGGUAGGGGAUCUGAGAGGACUUACCCCCACACUGGUACUGGGCCACGGACCAGACUCCUACGGGAGGCAGCAGUAAGGAAUAUUGGGCAAUGGCCGCGAGGCUGACCCAGCCAUGCCGCGUGCAGGAAGACGGCCUUAUGGGUUGUAAACUGCUUUUAUACGGGAAUAAUAGAGUGUACGCGUACAUUUAUGCAAGUAUCGUAUGAAUAAGCAUCGGCUAACUCCGUG